rnacentral:rRNA from 1 species
AGCCCAGAGCCUGAAUCAGUGUGUGUGUUAGUGGAAGCGUCUGGAAAGGCGCGCGAUACAGGGUGACAGCCCCGUACACAAAAAUGCACAUAUUGUGAGCUCGAUGAGUAGGGCGGGACACGUGGUAUCCUGUCUGAAUAUGGGGGGACCAUCCUCCAAGGCUAAAUACUCCUGACUGACCGAUAGUGAACCAGUACCGUGAGGGAAAGGCGAAAAGAACCCCGGCGAGGGGAGUGAAAAAGAACCUGAAACCGUGUACGUACAAGCAGUGGGAGCACGCUUAGGCGUGUGACUGCGUACCUUUUGUAUAAUGGGUCAGCGACUUAUAUUCUGUAGCAAGGUUAACCGAAUAGGGGAGCCGAAGGGAAACCGAGUCUUAACUGGGCGUUAAGUUGCAGGGUAUAGACCCGAAACCCGGUGAUCUAGCCAUGGGCAGGUUGAAGGUUGGGUAACACUAACUGGAGGACCGAACCGACUAAUGUUGAAAAAUUAGCGGAUGACUUGUGGCUGGGGGUGAAAGGCCAAUCAAACCGGGAGAUAGCUGGUUCUCCCCGAAAGCUAUUUAGGUAGCGCCUCGUGAAUUCAUCUCCGGGGGUAGAGCACUGUUUCGGCAAGGGGGUCAUCCCGACUUACCAACCCGAUGCAAACUGCGAAUACCGGAGAAUGUUAUCACGGGAGACACACGGCGGGUGCUAACGUCCGUCGUGAAGAGGGAAACAACCCAGACCGCCAGCUAAGGUCCCAAAGUCAUGGUUAAGUGGGAAACGAUGUGGGAAGGCCCAGACAGCCAGGAUGUUGGCUUAGAAGCAGCCAUCAUUUAAAGAAAGCGUAAUAGCUCACUGGUCGAGUCGGCCUGCGCGGAAGAUGUAACGGGGCUAAACCAUGCACCGAAGCUGCGGCAGCGACGCUUAUGCGUUGUUGGGUAGGGGAGCGUUCUGUAAGCCUGUGAAGGUGUGCUGUGAGGCAUGCUGGAGGUAUCAGAAGUGCGAAUGCUGACAUAAGUAACGAUAAAGCGGGUGAAAAGCCCGCUCGCCGGAAGACCAAGGGUUCCUGUCCAACGUUAAUCGGGGCAGGGUGAGUCGACCCCUAAGGCGAGGCCGAAAGGCGUAGUCGAUGGGAAACAGGUUAAUAUUCCUGUACUUGGUGUUACUGCGAAGGGGGGACGGAGAAGGCUAUGUUGGCCGGGCGACGGUUGUCCCGGUUUAAGCGUGUAGGCUGGUUUUCCAGGCAAAUCCGGAAAAUCAAGGCUGAGGCGUGAUGACGAGGCACUACGGUGCUGAAGCAACAAAUGCCCUGCUUCCAGGAAAAGCCUCUAAGCAUCAGGUAACAUCAAAUCGUACCCCAAACCGACACAGGUGGUCAGGUAGAGAAUACCAAGGCGCUUGAGAGAACUCGGGUGAAGGAACUAGGCAAAAUGGUGCCGUAACUUCGGGAGAAGGCACGCUGAUAUGUAGGUGAAGUCCCUUGCGGAUGGAGCUGAAAUCAGUCGAAGAUACCAGCUGGCUGCAACUGUUUAUUAAAAACACAGCACUGUGCAAACACGAAAGUGGACGUAUACGGUGUGACGCCUGCCCGGUGCCGGAAGGUUAAUUGAUGGGGUCAGCGCAAGCGAAGCUCUUGAUCGAAGCCCCGGUAAACGGCGGCCGUAACUAUAACGGUCCUAAGGUAGCGAAAUUCCUUGUCGGGUAAGUUCCGACCUGCACGAAUGGCGUAAUGAUGGCCAGGCUGUCUCCACCCGAGACUCAGUGAAAUUGAACUCGCUGUGAAGAUGCAGUGUACCCGCGGCAAGACGGAAAGACCCCGUGAACCUUUACUAUAGCUUGACACUGAACAUUGAGCCUUGAUGUGUAGGAUAGGUGGGAGGCUUUGAAGUGUGGACGCCAGUCUGCAUGGAGCCGACCUUGAAAUACCACCCUUUAAUGUUUGAUGUUCUAACGUUGACCCCUAAUCGGGGUUGCGGACAGUGUCUGGUGGGUAGUUUGACUGGGGCGGUCUCCUCCUAAAGAGUAACGGAGGAGCACGAAGGUUGGCUAAUCCUGGUCGGACAUCAGGAGGUUAGUGCAAUGGCAUAAGCCAGCUUGACUGCGAGCGUGACGGCGCGAGCAGGUGCGAAAGCAGGUCAUAGUGAUCCGGUGGUUCUGAAUGGAAGGGCCAUCGCUCAACGGAUAAAAGGUACUCCGGGGAUAACAGGCUGAUACCGCCCAAGAGUUCAUAUCGACGGCGGUGUUUGGCACCUCGAUGUCGGCUCAUCACAUCCUGGGGCUGAAGUAGGUCCCAAGGGUAUGGCUGUUCGCCAUUUAAAGUGGUACGCGAGCUGGGUUUAGAACGUCGUGAGACAGUUCGGUCCCUAUCUGCCGUGGGCGCUGGAGAACUGAGGGGGGCUGCUCCUAGUACGAGAGGACCGGAGUGGACGCAUCACUGGUGUUCGGGUUGUCAUGCCAAUGGCACUGCCCGGUAGCUAAAUGCGGAAGAGAUAAGUGCUGAAAGCAUCUAAGCACGAAACUUGCCCCGAGAUGAGUUCUCCCUGACCCUUUAAGGGUCCUGAAGGAACGUUGAAGACGACGACGUUGAUAGGCCGGGUGUGUAAGCGCAGCGAUGCGUUGAGCUAACCGGUACUAAUGAACCGUGAGGCUUAACCUU